UUUGAGCUGGUACAUGGCCCGUACCCCAAACCGACACAGGUGGUCAGGUAGAGAAUACUAAGGCGAUCGAGAGAACUGUGGUUAAGGAACUCGGCAAAAUGCCCCCGUAACUUCGGGAGAAGGGGGACCAGUCCUGGUGACGACAUUUACUGUCUGAGCUGGGGUUGGUCGCAGAGACCAGAGAGAAGCGACUGUUUACUAAAAACACAGGUCCGUGCGAAGUCGUAAGACGAUGUAUACGGACUGACGCCUGCCCGGUGCUGGAAGGUUAAGAGGACCGGUCAGCCACUUCGGUGGCGAAGCUGAGAAUUUAAGCCCCAGUAAACGGCGGUGGUAACUAUAACCAUCCUAAGGUAGCGAAAUUCCUUGUCGGGUAAGUUCCGACCUGCACGAAUGGCGUAACGACUUCUCUGCUGUCUCAACCACAGACUCGGCGAAAUUGCAGUACGAGUAAAGAUGCUCGUUACGCGCGGCAGGACGAAAAGACCCCGGGACCUUCACUAUAGCUUGGUAUUGGUGUUCGGUUCGGUUUGUGUAGGAUAGGUGGGAGACUGUGAAACUCGCACGCCAGUGUGGGUGGAGUCAUUGUUGAAAUACCACUCUGACCGUAUUGGACAUCUAACCCCGGACCAUGAUCUGGUUCAGGGACAGUGCCUGGUGGGUAGUUUAACCGGGGCGGUUGCCUCCUAAAAAGUAACGGAGGCGCCCAAAGGUUCCCUCAGCCUGGUCGGCAAUCAGGUGUUGAGUGUAAGUGCACAAGGGAGCUCGACUGUGAGACGUACAUGUCGAGCAGGGACGAAAGUCGGGACUAGUGAUCCGGCACCGGCAAGUGGAAGCGGUGUCGCUCAACGGAUAAAAGGUACCCCGGGGAUAACAUGCUGAUCUUCCCCAAGAGUCCAUAUCGACGGGAUGGUUUGGCACCUCGAUGUCGGCUCGUCGCAUCCUGGGGCUGGAGUAGGUCCCAAGGGUUGGGCUGUUCGCCCAUUAAAGCGGCACGCGAGCUGGGUUUAGAACGUCGUGAGACAGUUCGGUCUCUAUCCGCCGCGCGCGUAAGAAACUUGAGGAAACCUGUCCCUAGUACGAGAGGACCGGGACGGACGAACCUCUGGUGUGCCAGUUGUUCCACCAGGAGCACCGCUAGUUAGCUACGUUCGGAAGGGAUAACCGCUGAAAGCAUCUAAGCGGGAAGCCUGUUCCAAGA
rnacentral:rRNA from 1 species